GUUUGAUCAUGGCUCAGAUUGAACGCUGGCGGCAGGCUAACACAUGCAAGUCGAGCGGAUGAAGAGAGCUUGCUCUCUGAUUCAGCGGCGGACGGGUGAGUAAUGCCUAGGGAUCUGCCUGGUAGUGGGGGACAACGUCUCGAAAGGGACGCUAAUACCGCAUACGUCCUACGGGAGAAAGCAGGGGACCUUCGGGCCUUGCGCUAUCAGAUGAGCCUAGGUCGGAUUAGCUAGUUGGUGAGGUAAUGGCUCACCAAGGCGACGAUCCGUAACUGGUCUGAGAGGAUGAUCAGUCACACUGGAACUGAGACACGGUCCAGACUCCUACGGGAGGCAGCAGUGGGGAAUAUUGGACAAUGGGCGAAACUGAUCCAGCCAUGCCGCGUGUGUGAAGAAGGUCUUCGGAUUGUAAAGCACUUUUAAGUUGGGAGGAAGGGCAGUUACUUAAUACGUUGCUGUUUUGACGUUACCGACAGAAUAAGCACCGGCUACUCUGUGCCAGCAGCCGCGGUAAUACAGAGGGUGCUUGGAUGUGNAAGC
rnacentral:rRNA from 1 species